rnacentral:lncRNA from 1 species
GUUACUCCAAAUCCGACGUUCGUAGAGAAAGACCAAGUGAACUACCUACGAGCCGCCAUCACCACCAUGUCACAGCCUCAUUUCCUCCUAGUGGCCUCCCCUGCACAAGGCCACAUAAACCCAACCUUGCAAUUUGCCAAGCAUCUUAUACGUAUUGGCGUACGUGUAACUUUCAUCACCUGCAUCUCCGCUCGCAGCCGCAUGACCAAAGUCCCCACUGCUCAAGGCCUAACGUUUUUACCCUUUUCCGAUGGCUACGACGACGGUUUUCAACUCCGCGAUGACAUCGACCAUUACCUAUCUGAAUUGAGGCGACGAGGCAAAGAAGCUAUCUCCGAGUUUUUAACAAGCAGUGAAAACGAAGGCAAACCCGUCACUUGCAUUGUCUACAGCCCGUUCAACCAUUGGGCCACGGAGGUGGCGCGUAAACAUCACAUCCCGACAACUUUACUUUGGAUUCAACCCGCCACCGUUUUUGACAUCUAUUAUUUUUACUUCAACGGAUACGAAUCCACCAUUAAAGCUCAAGCUGAUGAAACAAACCCCAAGCGUGCAAUAAAAUUACCAGGUCUGCCGCUACUCGCUACCCGCGACCUUCCGUCGUUCGUAACCGCUUCAAACGUUUACCGUUGGGGACCGUCGUUGAUCCAAGAACAAAUGGACAUCCUCGCUGAUGAAUCCAACCCCAAAAUCCUUGUUAACACCUUCGAUGCUUUGGAACAAGAAGCAUUAAACGCCAUUGAAAAUUUCAACAUGAUCGGCAUCGGACCUUUAAUCCCAUCUUCUUUCUUGAACUCAAGUGACUCCUUGGAUAAUUCCUUGAGAACCGAUCUUUUUCAACCCGAUUCAAAAGAUUACCUCCAAUGGUUAGACUCCAAACCAAAAUCGGCCGUCGUUUACGUUUCCUUCGGGAGCAUUACGGUGUUAACGAAGCAACAAGUGGAGGAAAUCGCUCGAGCUUUAAUAUCCAGCCGGCGACCUUUUUUAUGGGUGGUGAGGAACCGGAAAGAUGGAGGCGAAGAAGAGAAAGAAGAAGAUAAACUGACUUGCAGGGAAGAAUUGGAACAGUAUGGGAGGGUGGUUCCAUGGUGUUCGCAAGUGGAAGUAUUGUCUCAUCCGUCGUUGGGUUGCUUCGUGACGCAUUGUGGGUGGAACUCGACGUUGGAGAGCAUGGUGGCCGGUGUACCGGUGGUGGCUUUCCCUCAAUGGACGGAUCAAGGGACUAAUGCGAAGCUGAUUGAAGAUGUGUGGGGGAAUGGGGUGAGAGUGAGUGCUAAUGAAGAAGGGAUGGUGGAACGUGAUGAGAUCGUUAGGUGCUUGGAUUUGGUGAUGGGGGAUGAUGAGAAAGGGAUGGAAGUGAAGAAAAACGUAGAGAAAUGGAAAGGGUUAGCCAGGGAAGCCUCCAUGGAAGGCGGCUCCAUGGAUAUGAAGCUUAAAGCUUUUGUGGAUGAUGUUGCUCAAGGUGGUUGUAAGUAAAUUUAUCAUUUUCAAAUAAAUUCACUGUUAUAAUAGCAGCUAUAAAGAUUGUAACUUCUUUAAUUUCUAAGUUUAUUUCUUUUUUUUUUUCCAUAUCUUUUAAAAAAUAUAUGUAAGAUUGAAAGGCCCAAACAAAAACUCCUGUUUUAAGGACCCAAGAAGAGCUGGUCUGUUUAGGCUGUGCUAUUUAUUACUUUUUAGAUGAGUUUUUGCAUGUAAAAGUAUUUUUUUUGAAAAAUAAUAAAGAAUAGACAUCAUUUCAGAAAUAUUUUUAACUUAAAAAAAUACUUUUUGGCAGAUGGAGAAAUUAAAAAUUUUAACUUUUCCGUCUGCCAAAAGUGCUUUUGACUUCUAUUUACAUUUUUAACCUUUUUCUUCUCCCAAAAUUUUUAGUAUUUAUAUUUGGUAUAUAAAUGUUAUCCAUUUUUAAAUCUUUAAUCUAAAUAUAUGUAAUAUUUUAAUUUGUUAGGUUUAUAUUUUCUAUGUUACGUUAAUAUCUAAUAAGAGUUAUAUAUUAAAAUACAUUUUAAAAUAAAAUAAUACAAAUGUGUUAAAAGCAUUAAUUAAAAAUAAAAAAUAAAUUUUAAAAUAAUACAAUUGUGUCAGUAUCUAAUUACAAAUAUUUAAUUAUUAUAUUUAAAUAUAGUUUAUAUAUUCUAAUUAAAUUUAAUAAAUAAUUAAUAUUAAUUACUUAGAAAAAUUUAAAAAUAAUAUUAUAUAUUAAAAUAUUAACAAUAAGUUAUAAUAAAUUAUUUUUAUAAUUUUGCUAAAAUAUCAUAAUAUUAACUAAUUUGAACAUUAUUUAAAUACAUAUUUGUUACUUUAUAAUAUCAUGUCUAAAAUGGACAUUUUAUUUCUCAAAAGCACUUUUUGACAGCAAUAUCAAACACUCAAAUUUUUCGAAAGCAUUUUUUAAAAGUACUUUUCCACAACACUUUUCAAAAAUACUUUUCAAAAGCAAUGAAGAACUGACCCUUAGUCUUUGUGCCCCAUCUAUCCAUCUCAAUCUCAAUCAAUGCUUUCCUUUCUUGCCUCAAGCACUCACUCGUUUCAUGACCUAUCCUAGUCUUCCCUUUCUUAACUUCAUGAUCUCAAAAAAAAAAAAAAACCCCAAAGUUUGAAUUCCGUCUAUGAACUUCCUAAGCAGAAUCAGGAUAUUUGAUUAAACAUGGAUGCUUCCAUUAUCAUAUGGAUUAAGGGUGCCAGUCAGUCUUAUUACGCCCCUAAUCCAACUUUCACCAUUCGAUAUAUGAUUAUAACCUAUACAACAACAGUCAAAUGUGUUGUUGUCGUACCUCUGUCCCUUCAAAAUUAUCUUUACUGUUGCUAUUCAUGUCUUCAUUUGAAUUGAUUUGUUUAUGGUUAUAUAUUGCCGAAUUUGAUUUGUAUAUGGAUAUACAUUGCUGAAUUAAUUUAUAUAUUGUUAUACAUUACCAAAUUUGAUUUGUAUAUAGAUAUACAUUGACAAAUUUGAUUCGUAUAUGGAUAUAUAUCGCCGAAUUGAUUUGAGCUUUGGAUUACUAGUUUUGUGCAUGAAUUGAUUUAAUUACGAAGUCGAAAGCUCCGAAUGAACCUUAGUAAAUGUAUUGGAUAUUGAUGUCAUGAUAUUAGGACUUUCAGGGUGUAAUUUCGCGUAAGACCAUGUCUGGGAUAUUGGCAUCGAAGUAAGAAAACGUGUAAGACCAUGUCUGGGACAGUGGAAUUGAUAUGUGUUAACAUAUAAGACCAUAUCCGAGAUAUUGUAUUGUACGAGUUUUAUAUGAUUUUCGUAUGAUCUUAACUAUUUCGAAUGUGAAUUUGAGUUGAAUGGUUCAGGUAUGUGUGAAGUUAUAUGUUCAUGCAAUAUUAAGGUAAGUUUAGCACUUAAUGUGAUAAUAUGCAAUUAUAUGAGUUAGUUAAAUGUUUAUGUGUUUGAGAUUUAUUUGAAUUCAACCUAGUUGAAUUGAAUUAUAAAUAUCAUUGAGAUGAUUGAGUAAGAGGUUAGUACGAGAUGAUACAGGUACAUACAGAACCUAUUCGAGUAUUUAAUAGAGAAAGAUAAUGAAAUGGUAUUUGAUCAUGUUUUAAGACAUUGAGAAAGGUUUGUUGUAAUUGUAUAUAUGGUGAUGUUAUGUACAAUUAGUUGAAUUGUAUGUAUUUGAUGUAUUGAAUUAUUCAUUUACGAACUUACUAAGCUAUGAAGCUUACUUCGUGUUAUUUUCUUAUGUUUUAUAGAGAAUCAAGGCUAGCUCGGAUCCAAAAGUCGUCGGGAACAUCAUCGCGCUAUCGAACAUCUAAGUUGGUACUUUUGAAUUGUAUAUAUAUGAUAUAUGAGAUGUAUAGGCUAGUGUCAUUUUGGUAUGUUUUGAGUUAUGAUAUUAGCCAUGAGAUUUGGCUUUUAAAGGUUGGUGUGUAUUUGGCCAUAUGAAUUGGUUGUUUAAGUGUUGAGAAAAUGCAUAUUUGAACCUAAGAUGAAUUGAUGGUUAUAGUAAGUUAAAUUGACAUAUUUUUGAGUUAAUUUGGUACUAAAAUUGAAAUGAAAUGAACGAAGUUUAUUAGUUAACUUUUAUAUAGUAUUAUGAAUGUUGUUGAUCAAUUUGAUAAGUAAAUGUUUUAGGCAUGAUUUAAAUAUGUUUAAAUGUGAAAAUGUGUUGGUUUCCAUAUUGAUUGUAAAUUGGUUGCAGUUGAAAUUGCAGGGAAUGUUAGAUAUUUAUAAAGAAGUUAUAUUGAGUUCGCAAAAAGAAAAAUUCUCCGAGUUUCCGAAUUAGUCCCGAAUCAUUCUUAACUCGUAUUAUGGACCUUGAGGGUUUAUCUAAGGGACUUUAAGAUUAUUUUAUAUUAUAUUUGAUAAUUAUUUGUAUAUUAAUUGUAAAUUGUCCGAUAGGUCUAGUAAUGCUCCAUAAUCCUAUUCCGGUGACGAACAUGGGUUAGGGGUGUUAUAAUAAGCAAUUUUUGGUGAAAGUUAUAGUGAAAGUUAUCAUAUUGAUGGUUAGGUGUGAUUGACCAUAGAGUUAUAAUUAUUAUAGUACAAAGAAAAGUUAACUGAGUUGAUUAGGGUGUGAGGUGAAUAAAUUAACUCUUCGAAAUUUUAAUAGCAGGAACGGAAGAAUAUUUAAAAAAAAAUUAAUUUGUUAUUUGAUUUAACAUAUAGAGACUGAUUUAUCUAUUUUUUAGUAUAGCUAGAGGAUAAAAUGCAAUCUGACAUCUAAUACAAUGACCUCAAUAAUACUUUUACCUACAGUUGCUAAAUUUAUAACUAUAAUCGUAAAUUUUCAGUUUUGGUUCUUCUAUUAUGGUUACGUUUAAGAUUUAAUUUUUUAAAGUAAGAUUUAAUCUUUAUAAUUAAAUUUGGCAUAAUUUGAUUGUCUAUUUUUACAAUGAUAUUAGGUAGUCGAAAUAAUUAACAUAUUUUUUAACUAUUCUAAUUAAGUUUUUAAUUUUUUUAAAAAUACUAUUCUAUAAAAAAAUUACUUUUACAUAAUGAAUCAGAAUAAAUGUUAUUAAAAAUAUUCACAUCUACUACAAAAAAUAUUAAGGGUGCUAAUUAUUUGAGUUAACUAAUGAUACGACCUUUUUUUCCCGACAUUAUAAGAUAAUGAUAAAAUUAUAGUUUUUAUAUCUCUAUUAUGCUCACAUUUGAGAUUUAAUAUUUAUAUUUUAAAUUAACAUCGUUUGAUCCUCUACUUUUAUAAUGAUAUUAGUUAUCCUAAAUAAUUAAUAUUUUUAACUAUAUCGAUUAAAAUGAUUACAUGAAUUUCUCUUAAAAACACCUUUCAAUACAAUAUAUAUAUUUCUACAUGAAGUUCGAAUGGGUAUUUUUAAGGAAAAUAUUGAUCUCGACAUUUUGACCACGAUAAUUAAAGGUAUCAACUAUUUCAACUAACUAAUAGUAUUAUGUAGAGGGACCAAAUUAUAUAAAAUUAAAGAAUAGAUAUUAAAUUCUAUAUUUAAACAUAGUAGAGAGACCAUAACCAUAAUUUAAUCUAAAACAAAUUAUCUCUAACAUAAUAUAAAUAUAUUAACUAUAAAAAAUUUAAAUUUUAUUCUACCCCUAAAAAAUUAUUCUGACUUUACCUUACCUGCUACAAUUUUUAGACCUUACAUAAGAUUGUUUUCUUAAAUAGUGCAUAUUAUAAUAUAUAUUUGGUUUUGCAAUUGUUUUUAACUUCGGCUUUUAAUUUGUCACAAAUAAAAUUUUUGACUUUAUUAAUAAUAAUAAUAAUAAUAAUGGAUAAUUUAAAAUAAAAUAUAUUUAUAUUUUAAUUUAUUGUAUUGGAAUUAAUGAGAGAAAAUUUAUGGUCCUUAUAGCGCAAGAAUGUGUGUGACAACGUGUUGAAUGUUUAUCCACACAAAAUCCAAAAGGAUUCAAGGAUCUUCAACUUCGUCAGUGCCUCUCAUCACUUCUAAAAACACUUUGCUUUCCUUUCUUACUUACUCCAAAUCCGACGUUCGUAGAAAAAGACCAAGUUAACUACCUACGUGCCGCCGUCACCAUCAUGUCACAGCCUCAUUUCCUCCUGGUGACCUACCCUGCACAAGGCCACAUAAACCCAACCUUACAAUUUGCCAGGCAUCUUAUACGUAUUGGCGUACGUGUAACUUUCAUCACCUGCAUCUCCGCUCGCCGCCGCAUGACCAAAGUCCCCACUGCUCAAGGCCUAACGUUUUUACCCUUUUCCGAUGGCUACGACGACGGUUUUCAACCCGGCGAUGACGUGGACCAUUACCGAUCUGAAUUUACGCGACGAGGCAAAGAAGCCAUCUCCGAGUUUAUAACAAGCGGUGAAAACGAAGGCAAACCCGUCACUUGCAUUGUCUACACCCUGUUCAUCCAUUGGGCCACGGAGGUGGCGCGUAAACAUCACAUCCCGACAGCUUUACUUUGGAUUCAACCCGCCUCCGUUUUUGACAUCUAUUAUUUUUACUUCAACGGAUACGAAUCCACCAUUAAAGCUCAAGCUGAAGAAACAAACCCCGAGCGUUCAAUCAAAUUACCAGGUCUGCUGCUACUCGCCACCCGCGACCUUCCGUCUUUCUUCACCGCUUCAAACGUUUACCGUUGGGCACUGUCGUUGUUCCAAGAACACAUGGACGUCCUCGCCGAUGAAUCCAACCCUAAAAUCCUUGUUAACACCUUCGAUGCUUUGGAACACGAAGCAUUAAACGCCAUUGAAAAUUUCAACAUGGUCGGCAUCGGACCUUUAAUCCCAUCUUCUUUCUUGAACUCAAGUGACUCCUUGGAUAAUUCCUUGAGAACCGAUCUUUUUCAACCCGAUUCAAAAGAUUACCUCCAAUGGUUAGACUCCAAACCAAAAUCGGCCGUCGUUUACGUUUCCUUCGGGAGCAUUACGGUGUUAACGAAGCAACAAGUGGAGGAAAUCGCUCGAGCUUUAAUAUCCAGCCGGCGACCUUUUUUAUGGGUGGUGAGGAACCGGAAAGAUGGAGGCGAAGAAGAGAAAGAAGAAGAUAAACUGACUUGCAGGGAAGAAUUGGAACAGUUUGGGAGGGUGGUUCCAUGGUGUUCGCAAGUGGAAGUAUUGUCUCAUCCGUCGUUGGGUUGCUUCGUGACGCAUUGUGGGUGGAACUCGACGUUGGAGAGCAUGGUGGCCGGUGUACCAGUGGUGGCUUUCCCUCAAUGGUCGGAUCAAGGGACUACUGCGAAGCUGAUUGAAGAUGUGUGGGGGAAUGGGGUGAGAGUGAGUGCUAAUGAAGAAGGGAUGGUGGAACGUGAUGAGAUCGUUAGGUGCUUGGAUUUGGUGAUGGGGGAUGAUGAGAAAGGGAUGGAAGUGAAGAAAAAUGUAGAGAAAUGGAAAGGGUUAGCCAGGGAAGCCUCCAUGGAAGGCGGCUCCAUGGAUAUGAACCUUAAAGCUUUUGUGGAUGAUGUUGCUCAAGGUGGUUGCAAGUAAAUUUAUCAUUUUCAAAUCAAUUCACUGUUAUAAUAGCAGCUAUAAAUAUUGUAACUUCUUUAAUUUCUAAGUUUAUUUCUUUUUCUUUUCCAUCAUCUUUUGUAAAAAAAAAAAUGUAAGAUUGAAAAGCCGAAACAAAAACUCCUCUUUUAAGGACCCAAGAGGAGCUGGUCUGUGUAGUCUUUGAGCCCCACCUGUCAAUCUCAAUCUCAAUCAAUGCUUUCCUUUCUUGCCUCAAGCACUCACUCGUUUCAUGUCCCAUCCUCGUUUUCCCUUCAUUAAUAUCACUCCACCUUCUAACUUAAUAAUUGAUACAUGAUCUCAAAAAAAAAAGAAAAAAAAAAAACCCAAAGUUUGAAUUCGGUCUAUGAGCUUCCUAAACAAAAUCAGGAUAUGUGAUUAAGCAUGGAUGCUUCCAUUAUCAUAUGGAUUAAGGGUGCCAGUCGGGCUUAUUACGCCCCUCAUCCAACUUUCACCAUUCGAUAUAUGAUUAUAACCUAACCAACAACAGUCAAAUGUGUUGUUGUCGUACCUCUAUCCCUUCAAAAAUCUCUUUACUGUUGCUACCCAUGUCUUCUUUGAUAUAUAUGCAUAUUUUUAACCUUACUGAGCUGUGGACUUCAUUUGACGUGUAACCAAGUUUUUGCUUUCUUUUCUUUCUUCUUCUUAUGUUUCCUGAAUUUAUAAAUUUUUUUCCAUUGGCUUCUAUUUAUGUUUUUUCAAAGAUUAAUAAUUGAAUUUAAUUAAAAAUAAUUAAAUUGGUAAAAUAUAUAAAUGUUGAGGACAAAAUUCAGUAUUAUCCCUUUUAAUACCUUUCAUCGUACUAGAUCAGGUAUUAUCGUACCAUGAAACUUGAAUAAGGGUGGGUUUGGAUGGGCGAUUGGGUGCGGUGCGGUGCGUUUAGCCUACUUUUUGUCUCACACUACAGUAUUGCUACAGUGGUAAACGCACCGCCCAUCCAAACUCACCCUAAGCCACCACACAAGUUUAUGCGCAUGUGGUUUUUUCUGGUUUAAUUCUGCUUCUAGUCCUUAUACUUUUUGAAAGUGAUGGAUUUAGUCCCAAUACUUCAAUUUGAUCACUUUUAGUCCUGAACUUUUCAAAAUGUUCAAUUUUAGUCCCUAUAUUUUUAGUCUUUUGAAAUUUUUGUCCUAAACCAAAUAAUAGUAGUUAAAUUUGUUUGUUUAAAUUCAAUUACUAGCAUGUAAUUGUAGAUUUAAUAUAUAUUAUCCAUUUUCUUUGCAAAGUCUGUGAAAAACAAAAAGGAUUGUUGAGAACAAUCCAAACACUAUCAAACACAGUUUAAAAAAAAAUAAAACAGAACAGCCUAACAAAUACUACUAAGCAGACAAAAACACUUUAACAACAGAUUUCCCCGUUGUAUUCUGCUGCAGAAAAUAGCAGACCAUCCCAGCAUCAUCCAUUCUGCUUCAGCAGCAAAUCACCAAGCAGCUUUAAAGAAGUUUUUCCUUGACAUGCCUGCCUUUGCUAAAGUUUCCGCCAUUCCACUCUUUUUUUGAUUAGUGAUUGCAAACUGGAUUUCGGCAAUAUGUCUACAUUCAUCUUCAAUUUCCGCAAACAACUUCCUUAGCGACCAUUGACGAAGAUUCCUAUAUUUCAACUAAUUCAAUACCGUAUUCAAAUCAAGCUCUAUAAUCAAAGGAAGUUGCACCUUAUGAAACAAAUUUGAAAACAUCUCUAUUGCUACUUUUAUAGCCAUCAGUACUACCAUUUCCAAACCCUCCACUGCACAGUUACCUGAAAAAGAGCUGAAACAACCCCUUUCUCGUCCCGCAACACCCCUCCGCAGCCCGCUCUUUCAUCCAAAGAAACCCCAGCCACAUUAAAUUUCAUCCAACCGCAAGGAGGUGGUUCCCUAUCCAUAACCCGCACAUUCCCCACCCUUUUUAACCGGACUGCUCUUCCUUGGCCACCCCCACCAAUCACUCUCUGUGAAAAUACAUUCCUCAUAGACCACUCUUGCCCAUACAAACGAUCUCAAUUUUGUUUGGUAAAUUAACAAGUCAAGUGUUGUAGCCUUACCUUCAAACACUUUCUCAUUACGAGAAAUCCAUCCUGACCAACAUGCUGCUGAUACUGCCAGUAACCAUAGACUUUUUUGAAUGCCAGACAAAGACACUCUCCAGCACAAGGAAAAGAAUUCCUCAAAGUUUGCUACGACGUCCUUCCAUCUCAACCCCCACCAGCAAAAUAUACACGACCAGAAUCUUUUCACAAAGGAGCAUUCAAAAAAAAGUGAUUGGUAGAUUCCGCCACUCUCUCGCACCAUGGACACCCACUAUCCGAAGAGUCGAUAAUAAUUCCUCUACUAAUAAAAAAUUCUUUCGUUGGAACACGAUUAAUCGCCAUCAUCUAUAAGAAGCUACGCUUUCUUGGUGGGACUUUCAAUUUCCAGAUUCUAUCAAACUGAAAUUCUACCGUUCCCAUCCCAUCACACAUUCACGACAUUAGUUGCACGCCCAGCUACAAACGAACCUGGCUCGGAUAGCAAAAAUGUAGGGAAAAAAUAGUCACAGAAGACUAUAGUCAAACAACGUGUAUGCAAGGAAAAUACUAAACUAGAAAAUUUAAAAAGAAAGAAAAGCUGAACUCAAAAUGACUGAAGUUGCUGUAUUAUUCACACACAAAAUGAAAUAAACGUAGGCCUAUAAAUAGCCUUUACACCAUAACAAACUAACGUAAAAAUGUGCAACACUAUUGCACGAUCAUAACAAAAAAUAGAGAAAUAAGGAAAAUAACAAACUAAGCAUAGCACAGCAAAUCUAAAUUUAGAAAAACUGACUUUGAAUCAUUCUCCAACAUCGAAAAUGGUGGAGGGUUGAAUCCAGAGUAAAGUUGACGGGAUGUGAUGUUUACGCGCCACCUCCGUAGCCCAAUGAAGGAGCAAAUAGUAGACAAUGCAAGUGAUGGGUUUACCUUCGUUUUCACUACUUGUUAUAAACUCAGAGAUGGCAUCUCUGCCUCGUCUCUUGAAUUCAGACAUGUAAUUGUCUGUGUCAUUGCCGGGUUUAAUUUCGUCGUCAUAGCUAUCCGAAAAAGGUAAAAACGAUAGGCCUUCAGCAGUGGGGGACUUUGGUCAUGCGACUGCUGGCGGAGAUGCUGGUGAUGAAAGUUACACGUACGUCGAUAGGUACAAGAUGCUUGGCGAAUUGUAAGGUCGGGUUUAUGUGGCCUUGUGCAGGAUAGGUCACUACGAUGAAAUGAGGCUGUGGCAUGAUGGUGACGGCGGCGCGUGUUGGCGCGUAAUUCGUGAAGGAAAUUAAUGGGUUUUUAUAGUGAAGAGAGGCAUUGAUAGAAGGUGACGUUUGAGCUGACGAAUUUCAAAGAUUCCUAAACCUUGUUGGACUUAUCUAGUGUUUUUUCAAUGCUUAGGUUGCAGCUUGAUGCAUGAUGCUGUUAGAGACAGUUUCAUACUACACGACUCUUGGGGGUUUGAAUUUAAUUCACGAAUUAUAAUUUAGGUUAAACUAAACCCCAACACUAAACUAGUCAGUUUAUAUUUGGUUAAACUACCUACCAAGUUAUCCAUCUAUGCCUAAACUUUCAAAAUGGUCAUUCAACUAAUUGGGUUUCAGUUUUUUAUCCAUUUCCCUUAAGCAUAGAUAAAUGCCUUACCUUUGCAUACUUGGUAGGGUUAAUUUUUAAAAAUUAUGACUAAAUUGAUACAAUAUGUAAAAUUUGAGGAAAAAAAUUGUUAUUAUCCUAAUAUUUAAACAGUCACUUCAACUUUCUAUCAAACACUUAAUGGAAAUGGACCAAAAAAAUAAAUCAGAAUAGUUAGGUGACCAUUUUGAAAGUUUUAAAAGUUGAGUGAUAAAAAAAAAAAACUUAAACAUGUUUAAUAGUAUUAAUGUGUCGAACAAUUAAAGUAUCCACUUGUCAUUGUUUUCUUGAAUAUUGUGUAUAUCAUAUAUAAUAAAGGAUUGUAUAACGCUAGCUGUCAUUUUACAUCAUACCUUUUCUUCUCCAAUAAGAGAAUGAUAAAUUAAAUUUUUUCUCUUAAAAAAAUUCAAAUUCAAAUAAAAAUGUAAUAUAAAAUCAUAAUUUCAUAUAAUCACAGUUUCAUACAAUAUUUUCUCUUAGAAUAUAUAUUUAUAAUGUAUAUAUAUAUUCCAUUUUUCAAUUGUUUCUAACUUUGUUCUUUUAGUUUGUCACAGACAAAAAUUUUGACUUCGAUAUUAUUAAUAAAAAAUUAUUAUUGUCCUUGUAGCGGAAGAAUGUGUGUGACAACGUGAUAAGUAUUUUUCCAAACAAAAUCCAAAAGGAUUUAGGGAUCUUCAAAUUCGUCAGCCCAAACGUCACCUUUUUUCAGUGCCUCUCAUCACUUAUAAAAACACUUUGAUUUCCUUUCUUAGUUACUCCAAAUCCGACGUUCGUAAAAAAAGACCAGGUGAACUACCUACGUGCCGCCGUCACCACCAUGUCACAGCCUCAUUUCCUCCUAGUGACCUUCCCUGCACAAGGCCACAUAAACCCAACCUUACAAUUUGCCAAGCAUCUUAUACGUAUUGGCGUACGUGUAACUUUCAUCACCUGCAUCUCCGCUCACCGCCGCAUGACCAAAGUCCCCACUGCUCAAGGCCUAACGUUUUUACCGUUUUCCGAUGGCUACGACGACGGUUUUCAACCCGGUGAUGACAUAGAACAUUACCUAUCUGAAUUGAGGCGACGAGGCAAAGAAGCCAUCUCCGAGUUCAUAACAAGCAGUGAAAACGAAGGCAAACCCGUCACUUGCAUUGUCUACACCCUGUUCAUCCAUUGGGCCUCGGAGGUGGCGCGUAAACAUCACAUCCCGACAGCUUUACUUUGGAUUCAACCCGCCACCGUUUUCGACAUCUAUUAUUUUUACUUCAACGGAUACGAAUCCACCAUUAAAGCUCCAGUUGAUGAAACAAACCCAAAGCGUUCAAUAAAAUUACCAGGUCUGCCGCUACUCGCCACCCGCGACCUUCCGUCGUUCGUCACCGCUUCAAACGUUUACCGUUGGGCACUGUCGUUGUUCAAAGAACAAAUGGAUGUCCUCGCUGAUGAAUCCCACCCCAAAAUCCUUGUUAACACAUUCGAUGCUUUGGAACACGAAGCAUUAAACGCCAUUGAAAAUUUCAACAUGGUAGGCAUCGGACCUUUAAUCCCAUCUUCUUUCUUGAACUCAAAUGACUCCUUGGAUAAUUCCUUGAGAACCGAUCUUUUUCAAUCCGAUUCAAAAGAUUACAUCCAAUGGUUAGACUCCAAACCAAAAUCGGCCGUCGUUUACGUUUCCUUCGGGAGCUAUGCUGUGUUAACGAAGCGACAAGUGGAGGAAAUCGCUCGAGCUUUAAUAUCCAGCCGGCGACCCUUUUUAUGGGUGGUGAGGAACCGGACAAAUGGAGGCGAAGAAGAGAAAGAAGAAGAUAAACUGACUUGCAGGGAAGAAUUGGAACAGUUUGGGAUGGUGGUUCCAUGGUGUUCGCAAGUGGAAGUAUUGUUUCAUCCAUCGUUGGGUUGCUUCGUGACGCAUUGUGGGUGGAACUCGACAUUGGAGAGCAUGGCGGCCGGUGUACCGGUGGUGGCUUUCCCUCAAUGGACGGAUCAAAGGACUAAUGCGAAGCUGAUUGAAGAUGUGUGGGGGAAUGGGGUGAGAGUGAGUGCUAAUGAAGAAGGGAUGGUGGAACGUGAUGAGAUCGUUAGGUGCUUGGAUUUGGUGAUGGGGGAUGAUAAGAAAGGGAUGGAAGUGAAGAAAAAUGUAGAGAAAUGGAAAGGGUUAGCCAGUGAAGCCGCCAUGGAAGGCGGCUCCUUGGAUAUGAAGCUUAAAGCUUUUGUGGAUGAUAUUGCUGAAGGAUAUCGUAAGUAACAUUACCACUUUCAAAUCAAUUCACUGUUUCAAUAGUAGUUAUUUAAACAGUUAUUAUCGUACCAUGAAACUUGAUUAGGUUUUGCCUUGUAGUAAACAUGCGAAUGACGACCCACCACACAAGAUUAUGCAGAUAUGGUUUUUUUUUUUUUUUGUUUAAUUUUGCUACUAGUCUCUGUACUUUAUAUGAAAGUUAUGGAUUUAGUUUCAAUACUUUAAUUUGACCAUUUUUAGUCCUGUACUUUUUAAAAUGUUCAAUUUUAGUCCCUAUACUUUUAGUCUUUUGAAAUUUUAGUCUUGAACCAAAUAAUAGUAGUUAAAUUUUUUUGUUUAAAUUCAAUUACUAGUCAUGUCCUAUGUGUACAAUUAUAGAUUUAAUAAAUAUAUUUCCCAAUUGAAACAUUUUAAGUCCCUAUUUUUUUCGAAUUCUAAAAUUUCCGUCUCGACACAAAUGAUAGUCACUAAUCCAUUAACUAAAAUUUCAGUAAGUAAUAUGUGAAAAUAUCAAACUGAAAUGCCAUUACACAUAUGAUAAUAUGUUUGUUGCAUCAAAUUUUGAAAAUAACAGAAUUUAAUAAAUUUAACAAUUAUCGUUUAGUGAAGGCUGAAAUUUUAAAAUUUAAAAAGUAAGAGAAUUAAAAAUGACCAAAUUAAAGUAUAAGUAUUAAAUCUACAACUUUUGUAAAGUAAGAAUAAUAAUAAAAUUUAAACUUGUUUUUUUCUUGAAAGAAAUUGAAAGUAUAAUAUGUGAUAGGGAUGGGAGAAUAUGAAUGGUGUGAUAGAUUUUGAAUGUAGGAAACAAAGUAUCAUUUUAUCAGUUUAAUAUGUAUAACUAUUUAAAUAUGUAGAAAUGUGAAAAUGUAUUAUAGAAAAGCCUUUAUGUUUAAAUUUUUUUAAUUUUAUGUAUCUAAAAUUAUUAGUAAAUUUAUGUUUUGAUUACUCAACCUCAAAAAGUUACAAAAUGGUCAUGAGUUAUUAGAAAAUUUUCAUUUCAAUUGUUCAACUAUUCAAAAAUUUUUUUGUUUAAGUUAUUACGCUGUUAAGUUCUUUCUAAGUUCAAUUAAUGAGCUCCAACCGAUGAUUUAACAAUCGUAUGGUGGAUUAGUACUCAUCGACUAGUAGAGGAAAUCGCUUGAGAUUUAUUAUCCAGCCGGCAACCAUUUUCAUGGGUGGUGAGGAACUGGAAAGAUGGAGGCUACGAAGAGAGAGAAAAAGAUAAACUGACUUUCAGGGAAGAAUUGGAACAGUUAGGGAUGGUGGUUCCAUGGUGUUCGCAAGUGGAAGUAUUGUCUCAUCGUCGUUGUGUUGCUUCGUGACGCAAUGUGGGUGAAACUCGACGUUGGAGAGCAUGGUGGACAGUGUAUCAAGGGACUAAUGCGAAGCUGAUUGAAGAUGUGGGGGGAAUGGGGGUGAGAGUGAGUGCUAAUGAAGAAGGGAUCAUGGAACGUGAUGAGAUUGUUAGGUGCUUGGGUUUGGUGAUGGGGGAUGGGGAGAAAGGGAUGCAAGUGAAGAAGAAUGUUGAGAAAUGGAAAGGGUUAGCGGGGGAGGCCGCCAUGGAAGGUGGUUCCUUGGAUAUCAACCUUAAAGUUUUUGUGGAUGAUGUUGCUCAAGGUUGUUGCAAGUAAAUUUAUCUUUUCAUAUAAUUAUCUACAUUUAUAUCUUGAAUUCUUAAAUCAAGAAAUAAUAUGUUUAAAAACGAUCAAAUUCCUCUUGUUGUAAUAAUAAAAAUAUCAAAUGAUCUAAAAUUCGAUGGAAUGUUACAAAUAAAUUUCUAAUUUAUGUUUGUAUUAAAUUUACGCUUAAAUUAAUUUUGGCCUAUGGUGUAAGUUUUUUUAAAAAUAAUUUUAAUGGUCAAAUUUAAUUAAUAACACCAUCAAUUGGAUUUUAAAUUUUAAGUCAAACAAGAGACUAAAGUUUAAAAAUUAAAAGUAGCGGAUUAAAUUUUAAAAAAAAUUGCAAAAGAGUACAAGAAUUGGGGGUAUACUUAGAAAAAAUAUUAAAAUUUUCUUUUCUCCUCUAAUAGUAGAAUCUAAAGUUACGCACAUUUAUAAAAAUUAAAAAAGAGUUAAUUGUCCAAGAUAAAUAUUAAAUAAUAAUAUUUACAGACUCGAGUACAUGAAAUUUAUUGUUGGUCAUUGAAUUUAUCAUUUAACAAUUACUUUUGUUUUGGCUAUUGAGAAAAUUUUCUAGCCCUUAUAAUGUAUAUAUAUAUAUAUCUCCAUAUUAUUGGAUGUGUUACUUUUUAUUAAAUUAGAUUGCCUAAGGUUGCUUAUUGCGAUUAUGGUAAUUUGCUGCAUCAUCCCCUGACUAAUUCUUCUCAUUUCUAGUGUUAGCAUUCUUCUGCUUAAAAUCUGGGUCUCAUGUUGCUUUUUGAGCAUCACUAUACCAUUCUCCUCUUUAACCCGCCGAAAAAUCCAGUAGGAGCUUCUGCUUUCGAUUCUGGAGAAGUUGGCUCCCUCAAAAGUACCCUAUCGGCUUCAGGAGAUGCUGUCUCAUCAAAAGCCUUCUCCUCUUGCCCUAUUACGGAUUGGAUUGAGAGCACUAAAGCCAAUGAGAACACAACCAAAAAAAACUUUUGCAAUCCUUUUUAUUUUCUAAAAAGGUUAAGAAAUAAGUAAAGAUAUAUUUUUAUUGAUGCUUAAGGAUGAAGAUGAGACAAAAUUUAAAGAUAUUAAAAUGAGACAUUUUGGGCGAAUUUAGGGGUCGUUGACUAGUCCAGUGCCUAAUAGCCAUACACGACAAAAAUACAUAUAACUUCUCUCCACAUUUUCAAUGGUGAAGUUUAUCACUAUUAUUGGCGAGUUCAAUUUACUUCACUUUGUUUCACUUGAAGACAUUGUGGGUGAUCAUUAAUCUGUUUUAAAAUCAUUCUGACCUUCUCUGUUUGCAUCAUCUGCACCAAUAAAAAACACUCCUUCGCCUUUUAUAGGUCAAUUUUUUUCAUGAAGCAACUUUGAACGUUACUAAUUUGUGGACCAAAAUCUAAAUAGCUUUCUUCUUCUAUAAUGAAUAUUGACUGUUAAAAAUGAUGUUCUUCUACUUGUCUAUAGGUAUCGAUCAUAUAUAGUACUGAUUGCCAAAUCAUCACUUAGAGCUUGCUACCUAGACUUUUCAAAAAAAAAAAGUCAAAUGACUAGGCUCUUUCUUGACAUUUUUAAGACCCUAGGCGGAACAAUAAAUUGGGGCCCCUUUUAAAAAAAUUAAAAAAAUGUUAUGCAACAAAUAAAAAAAAUUGAGGCCAUUUUUUGAUCCGGUAAGAGCUUCUACUUUCGAUUCUGGAGAAGCUGCCACCUUUGAACUCAAAAGUACCCUGUCAGCUUCCAAAGAUGCUGCCUCAUCAAAAGCCUUCUCCUCUUGUCCUACUACAAAUUAGAUUGAGAGCACCAAAGCCAUUGAGAACACAACCAAAAAAACCUUCACAAUCUUUUUUAUUUUCUAAAAUGGUUAAGAAAAAAAAGUAAACAUAUAUUUUUAUUUAUGCUUAAGGUUGAAAAUGAGACGAAAUUUAAAGAGUUUAAAAUGAGAUAUUUUGGGCGAAUUUAGGGGUGGUUGACUAGUCUAGUGCCUAAUAACCAUACACGACAAAAAUACAUAUAACUGUUCUCCACAUUUUCAAUGGUCAUGUUUGUCACAAUUAUUGGUGGUUUAAAUUUACUUCUUUUUGUUUCACUUGAAUACGUUGCGGGUGAUCGUUUCAAUUUUUUUAUUUUAUAAUUUUCACAUAUUUUUUUCAUUUAUUUAAAAUUUCAACCAAACAAAUUUUCUGAAUUUUUUUUCUACUUUUAGAAAAACAAAAAGAAAAAGAAAUCUUUAAUUUUUGAAACUAAAUAUACCCUAAACCUUUGCCUCCGACUCAUAAGAUAUUAAGAAUAAGGUAAUUAUUUGGUACACACGAAAUGUAAGUUUUUUAUUCCACAUAUGAAGUUGGGAUUUUGCCUCUUAUCAUAUAUAUAUAUAUAUAUAUAAUUUUUUGAAUAUAAAUUAAAUAAUAAAUAAUAAAAUCUCAAUUAUAUUUAUGAAAUAAAAACCUUUCACUGUCACACCGAACAUUUCCCCUCGUGAUAUCACAGUAGUCUUUGUAAUCAUACUGACAAUCAUAAUGACAAAAGAAAGAAAAAGCUAUGCGAUAUGAUAUUCACUAGCUUGGAAGAAAUCGAAUUCAUAAAAAAUCCUACAAACUUAAUAGGUGUUUUUUUCAAGCAAGAAUAAUAAAUUUAGGGUCGAAAUUAAAUAGUAAUUUUUAUGAUAAUAAAAAUGUAAAUUUUAAAAGAUUAAAUCAAAAUUUUAUCAUUUUAGAAAAGUUAUCUUUUACUAAUUUAAAAUUUUAAAAAUUUCUAAAAGGUCUAAAAAUAAAUGAUAGUAAAAUAAUUCUAAAAUCUGUCAUAUGCGCCAACUUGAGUUCUUGCGUCAAAUAUUUCGUGCUAUCUACAUAUCCGCUCAUUUCUCGACACAUUGCAUAAUAAUUAUAACUACUUAGAACAUGAUUAAAUGCCAAAUUAGAUAAAAUUCAUGUCAAAAAAUAAUCAAAAUAAAUAAUAAAAAUAUAUCGAUUAGCUGCAUUAUCAAUGUGUAAACCUAAUUUAAUGUCAAACUUAAAAGUUAAAAAUUUUCUUAUAUAUAAUGGUCAAACUAAAUUAUUGUUAAAUAUUAUAAAUAUUGAUAAUUAAUAAUAGUGUCCACACAUGAUUUUAAUAUUAAUGGUCAUAAUGUGUCAAACAAUUAAAAUAUUGACUUGUAAGAUUGUUUCCUUAAAUAUUGUAUAUAUUCGAGUUUUGCUAUUGUUGGGAGAAAAAAGUGAAAGGGCCUCGGCUGUCAGUAGUGUUGUGUAACUAAACCUUAAAUGUGGCUAAUUGUCUUGCAAGCCCUCCUUAUUUAUUAUUUUCUUUUUAUUCCCCUUCAACUCACUACAUUGUGUUUAAACAAACCCUUAAUCUAUUUUUGUAGUUAAAUAAGCCCUUAAAUUGAUUUUUACUCAUAAAAUCCCUUUAUUUUAAUAUUAAAGUAAAUAUGUUUUACCUAUAUUAAAGGGCUUUUUAGUAUUUUAGCCCUGCUAGACUGUAUGUUGUUGAACCUGGCACCUACAUUGCAGAAAUUGUUUGAUUAUUUUCAAUGCAUAAGAACCAAUGAAAACAUAGAUGGAAGGCUAAUAUACUAAAAGGUGCUUAAUCUAUUACACUUUGUUUAAACAAGCUUUUAUACUGUUUUUGUAGUUAAAUAGGCCCUCAAACUAUGAUUUUUACCCAUGAAAGUCCUAAAUUUUAAUAUUAAAGUAAUACUAUUUAAAAAACAUAUAAAUUAAUUCGUAUUCUAUGUUGAUAUGAAUUUGAUGAGAAUAGUUUAUUAAAAAAAAUAAAAAUUUAAAAUUUGUUGAGAGUGCUUAUAUACAUGACAUGCUUAAUUACUAUUUUGAAAUUGCUAAUUACUUUUUUAGAUUUUAUGUUUAUGUUAAAGUGUAUAUAAUUUUUAUUGCAUCAACAAGAAAUUAAGAUAAGAGCUUGAAAUUCAAAAUAUAUUUACUUUAAUAUUAAAAUAAAGGGCUUUUAUGUGUAAAACCCAUAGGUUAAGAGCUUAGUUAACUACAAAAAAAAGUUAAGGGCUUGUUUAAACAUAAUAUAAUGAGUUGAAGGGGAAUAAAAAGAAAAUAAUAUAUAACGAUGGUUUACAAGGCAAUUAGCCACAUUUAAGCGGCACCCUUUCACUUCUUUUUCCAGUAGUCACUUAAAAUGGGAAUUUACACUUCAAAUCCCUAAAUACUUUAACUUAUUACAUCUCCAUUUGAUACCACUUGACACUAACAAAACAGUACAGUAAAAAACAUACCAUUUUGAUGUAUAUAUAUAUUCGGUUUUGUUAUUGUUUUUAACAUCGGCUUUUAAUUUAUCACAAAAUUUUCGGAUAAUUUUUUAAAAAAAUUAAUUAUAUUUUAAUUUAAAAUAUAGAAAUUAAUGAGUCCUUGCAAAGCAAGAAUGUGUGUGACAGCGUGAUGAAUUUUUUCCCACACAAAAUCCAAAAGGAAUUACGAAUCUUCAAAUUCGUCGGCCCAAACGUCACCCAUUUUCAUUGCUUAUCAUCACUUGUAAAAACACUUCGAUUUCCUUUCUUAGUUACUCCAAAUCCGACGUUCGUAAAAAAACACCAGGUGAACUACCUACGCGCCGCCGUCACCACCAUGUCACAGCUUCAUUUCCUCCUAGUGACCUUCCCUGCACAAGGCCACAUAAACCCAACCUUACAAUUUGCCAAGCAUCUUAUACGUAUUGGCGUACGUGUAACUUUCAUCACCUGCAUCUCCGCUCGCCGCCGCAUGAGCAAAGUCCCCACUGCUCAAGGCCUAACGUUUUUACCCUUUUCCGAUGGCUACGACGACGGUUUUCAACCCUGCGAUGACAUAGACCAUUACCUAUCUGAAUUGAGGCGACGAGGCAAAGAAGCCAUCUCCGAGUUUAUAACAAGCAGUGAAAACGAAGGCAAACCCGUCACUUGCAUUGUCUACACCCUGUUCAUCCAUUGGGCCUCGGAGGUGGCGCGUAAACAUCACAUCCCG